rnacentral:rRNA from 1 species
CCUACGGGAGGCAGCAGUAGGGAAUCUUUCACAAUGGGCGAAAGCCUGAUGGAGCAACGCCGCGUGCAGGAUGAAGGCCUUCGGGUUGUAAACUGCUUUUAUAAGCGAGAAAUAUGACGGUACCUUAUGACUAAGGAUCGGCUAACUACGUGCCAGCAGCCGCUGUCAUACGUCGGAUCCGGGCAUUAUCCGGAGUGACUGGGUGUAAAGAGUGGCGUAGGUGGCAGAAGUAGUAGCUAGGGAAAUCUGGUGGGUCCACCACUCAGACUAUUAGUGAAACUGUUACGCUCGAGACCGUUAGGGGUAACUGGAAUGCCUAGUGUAGGAGUGAAAUCCGUAGAUAUCAGAAGGAACACCAAUAGCGAAGGCAGGUUACUGGGACGGUUCUGACACUGAGGCACGAAAGCGUAGGGAGCAAACGGGAUUAGAUACCCUAGUAGUC